GGAUCAGCCCGCUCCCGGUAAAACGGGACGGCCCGCCAGAGGACCCCUAAACUCUGUUUCUAUAUGUAACUUCUGAGUAAAACCAUAAAUAAAUCAAAACUUUCAACAACGGAUCUCUUGGUUCUGGCAUCGAUGAAGAACGCAGCAAAAUGCGAUAAGUAAUGUGAAUUGCAGAAUUCAGUGAAUCAUCGAAUCUUUGAACGCACAUUGCGCCCGCCAGUAUUCUGGCGGGCAUGCCUGUUCGAGCGUCAUUUCAACCCUCAAGCCCCCGGGUUUGGUGUUGGGGAUCGGCGAGCCCUUGCGGCAAGCCGGCCCCGAAAUCUAGUGGCGGUCUCGCUGCAGCUUCCAUUGCGUAGUAGUAAAACCCUCGCAACUGGUACGCGGCGCGGCCAAGCCGUUAAACCCCCAACUUCUGAAUGUUGACCUCGGAUCAGGUAGGAAUACCCGCUGAAC
rnacentral:rRNA from 1 species